rnacentral:rRNA from 1 species
UUCGCAAUGCCCGAAAGGGUGACAAUGCGACGCCGUGUGUGUGAUGAAGGUCUUCGGAUUGUAAAACACUGUCGGCCGGAAGGAAUCUCCGGAGGUUUAACAAAUCUUCGGGGUGACAGUACCGGCAAAGGAAGCCACGGCUAACUCCGUGCCAGCAGCCGCGGUAAUUCAGAGGUGGCAAGCGUUGUUCGGAACCACUGGGCGUAAAGGGCGCGUAGGCGGUAGCGUAAGUUCGUGGUGAAAUCCCCCGGCUUAACCGGGGAAUGGCUGCGAAUACUGCGUUGCUUGAGGAUGAGAGGGGAGAGUGGAACUUCUGGUGGAGCGGUGAAAUGCGUAGAUAUCAGAAGGAACGCCGGAGGCGAAAGCGACUCUCUGGAUCAUCCCUGACGCUGAGGCGCGAAAGCUAGGGGAGCAAAAGGGAUUAGAUACCCCUGUAGUCCUAGCCGUAAACGAUGGGCACUAAGUAGAGGGGUUUU